UGAACACUUGGUAAAACGGUUGUAUGUGAGCACAGUGUGUUUUCAAAUUUUCAUUGGAUUCUAAUCUUUACACACUGCUUACCUUUCACGCAGUGGAAAUAUCUUAAGCCACGCCCCCUGUCCGACUUCCGGGUUGUGUUCCCACCUGAGGGAGUAAAGAGAGCUGCUUUCACAACAAUAAACAAGUAAGAAACAGUCGCAACGUUGUCGGGAUUUGUUGUCAUAUGUUUCAGCACAAUGAAUGUGAGGAAAGUGGAAAAGACAGUUUUGAGUGUGGAGCAGUCAGAGGGAGUUGGUGCUCGGGUCCGUAGGAGCAUUGGUAGAAAGGAGCUGAGAAAUCUGGACCCUUUCCUGAUGUUGGAUGAGUUUAAAGUGAGCAAGCCGGCAGGUUUUCCAGACCAUCCUCACAGAGGCUUUGAGACGGUAACGUAUGUUUUAGAGGGGAUCACGGCCCAUGAAGACUUCUGUGGCCACUCAGGAAGACUGAAACCUGGAGAUCUGCAAUGGAUGACUGCAGGCCGUGGGGUGGUCCAUGCUGAGAUGCCCGUGUCAGAGGAGCCGGUGGUGGGCUUACAGCUGUGGGUGAACCUGCCGAAGCGAGACAAGAUGGUGGAACCAGCGUACCAGGAGCUUAAAGGCUCAGAGAUCCCCAAACCCACUCAGGGAGGAGUUACAGUCGCGGUCAUAUCUGGAGAAGCUUUAGGAGCAAAGUCUAAGGUCUUCACAAGGACCCCGACCUUGUAUCUAGACUUCACUUUGCAGAUGGGAGCUCUUCAUGUGCAGCCAGUCCCCUCAGGAUGGACCGCAUUCAUCUACACACUAUCAGGAUCCCUUCAUGUUGGUGAGGUUUGGCUAAAAGAAAGGUGCCGUUUUUAUUUGAUAAUUUAUUUCCCUUAUAAACACACACAAUUACCUGUCUCAUGUUGUCCAACACUUCAUAUUAUUAUAGGAAGAAAAAGAAAUCAAUAAUAGCCAUAACAGUCAGGCUGAUACUUACAGUCUUCUCUCACUCACUCACUUCAAUGCUGUCAUGUCUGCUUAACAAUGUGUGUCAUAUCAGUCCAGUUGCACCUUCCAUUCUACAUGAAGACAAAAGGUCCUUGUGUUCUACAUUAAAACUCAAAGGAUUCGAGCAGGAUGACGCUGAACUAUGAUCGCUUCACUAAACGAUGAUCUUCUGACCACUCCGGUCUGAAACGUACCCGACAUCACCGGAAAAAUGAUCACGCUACCCUACGGCCACCUCAAGAGUUUGUCCUCAUAUCGGUCACCCAUUGUGAUAACUUCACCCUGUUGAAUCAGCACUGCUGACAUAUUAUGAAUAUAUUAUAUGUUAUGAAGGACUUAUUGGUGGACAUUGUGUGAGAACAAACCCUUUCAAACAGUGGAACCAUUUUCAGGGGCUUUUCUUGGUCGUCGAAUCCCGUUGUUUUCAGUCUGAAUUCGCCUUUUUAUUAUUCUUUAAUAAAAAUUUUCUUAUGAUUUGAUCACUAUCCAUCGUUACACUGCAAGAUCUCUCAGACGGGGUUGUAAUUGCCGGCAGAUGUUUUGAUGACACGAGAUGAUGAAAAUGGCUACUAGGAUUAAAGAAGUAAUUUGAAUCUGAAGUCUCCGGCUCCGCGUGCAGUCUGGCCAAAUCAGGACCAGCUGGCUUUGAUGAAUGCAUGCACCAACAGUGGAAGUGUCUGGCUUUCUCAGCGUUUAGUGUCAGUGUUAGCGUCAGUACUUUAAGUGUUGCAGCGUGCGAACAACGUGCUAAAGCAGGUCAAGCUGACUGGAACACACACGUGCCUGCAUUUCUUGGAUUUCCCUCAGGAUCAAUAAAGUAUCUAUCUGUCUAUCUAUCUGUCUAUAUUUCUGUUUAACUCUCAGCGGUUUUGACCUGUGCUGUCCUGAGAUGAUUUGUGAAACAGAUGUAUGUCAUUACUACCGAUACAUGUUGGCUAAUAAGCACCAAGUAAGCCAGUUCUGGAUGAAAAAUCAAACACUAAUGCCAAUUUUCUAACUGCUUUAAUUUGUUUUGUUGCCGUCAAUGGGAAGCUCCUUCUCCCAGGAAUCAUAGAGUCCCAUUUGUUUUCCGAAAUACAUCAACAAAAGCUCAGAGGCCACAAACUCAAAUCAAAUGUAUUGACUUACAUGCUUUGUCUGUGGUUUGUUUCUUAACAUGACAUACGAGUCUUGUUGGGCCAGAAGUGAAUGUGAAUAUCUGUCCCAGCUCAGCAUUUCACUUUCUCUUUCAUCACACUGUCGUUGGAACUAAUGUAUAAUAAUUUACUUUAAUGAUGAGGUUUUAUGAGGCAUUGGACUGUUUGUUUCUGAAAAUAAUGGGAGUGGUGGGCUUACAUUUCCUUUAUGGGAAUUAAAGUGACUGUGAAGAGAAGGUAAGAAGGUGUCAACAUACCAUUAAAAAAAUCUAAAUAUCGCAGUCCUGUCAAAAUAUAAUUAUAGAAAUGUGAGUAUUAGACUGGGCUGGUUUAAAAUGAAUUGUUCUAGCAUUGCUGGGCAAAACUGUGUUCUUGUUUUCUUGUUUUUGAGGCCCGGAUGAGGAGCAACAGAAGGUGGAGCCCCAUCACACUGUGGUGCUUGGAGAUGGAGACUGUGUCCAAGUUCAAAACAAGGGCUCUGAAGUUUCCCAUUUUGUGCUCAUCGCUGGAGAACCAAUCAAAGAACCUGUGGUACAACAC